UACGAAGGGGGCUAGCGUUGCUCGGAAUCACUGGGCUUAAAGCGCGUGUAGGCGGCCAUGCAAGUACUUUGUGAAAUCCCUCGGCUCAACCGGGGAAUUGCUUGGUAUACUGCAGGGCUUGAGGCGGGUAGGGGUGCUUGGAACUCUAGGUGGAGCGGUGAAAUGCGUAGAUAUCUAGAGGAAUGCCCGUGGCGAAAGCGGAGCACUGGGCCCGUCCUGACGCUAAGACGCGAAAGCGUGGGUAGCAAACGGG
rnacentral:rRNA from 1 species